AACUAGUAUUAGAGGCACUGCCUGCCCAGUGACUUAAUCGUUAAACGGCCGCGGUAUCUUGACCGUGCAAAGGUAGCAUAAUCACUUGUUCUCUAAAUAAGGGCUUGUAUGAAUGGCCACACGAGGGUUUUACUGUCUCUUACUUCUAAUCAGUGAAAUUGACCUCCCCGUGAAGAGGCGGGGAUAAUACAAUAAGACGAGAAGACCCUAUGGAGCUUUAAUUAAUCAACCCAAAAAACACAAAACAGCACCACCAAGGGAUAACAAAAUUUUACAUGGGUUGACAAUUUCGGUUGGGGUGACCUCGGAGUACAAAAAACCCUCCGAGUGAUUAAAACCUAGCCUACUGGCCAAAGUGUAAUAUCACUUAUUGAUCCAAAUUCUUGAUCAACGGAACAAGUUACCCUAGGGAUAACAGCGCAAUCCUAUUCUAGAGUCCAUAUCGACAAUAGGGUUUACGACCUCGAUGUUGGAUCAGGACAUCCUAAUGGUGUAGCAGCUAUUAAGGGUUCGUUUGUU
rnacentral:rRNA from 1 species